GGGGCAGGUGGAUGAUGGACAGACGGAAGCUAAACGGACGGACGGCAGUCAGCUGGCUGGACGUGGGGUCCCGGUAGAUAGGGAACGACUGUGCAGCUCGGUGUGGGAAGAGGCAAGCAGACACUGAGGGGUGGAGUGAGGAAGCUGGCCGCGUCUCUUCCAAACUCCAAGGCAUGGCCCAACCAGGGGAUGCUGCCCAGGUCCAGGGGAGGCUCGCCGGGUCGCCUGCAGAACCCACACCACUUAGUAAAGAGCUCUGCACCCUGCAGGGGUCCAGAUCAGCCCUGGAGACACAGGAACCCUUACCUGAAGCCACUGUAGCCUCUGAUCCCCAACAAGGGACUGCUCAACCAGGAGCCCUCUCAGAACAGCAGCUGCACCUAUCCCAGAGGAAGAGGGGUGCACUGGGCUUGGUGAAUCAGGAGGGGACUGAGAGAGCACCUCCGUGAGCCACCUCGGAGUACUGACGGGGACACUGAGGCCCAGAAUGCACGUGGCAGAUCCUUAGCCUCAACGGGCCCAGAAGAAAGACUCCUGCCUCCCAACCCACCAACCUUGCCAUAAUCACAGAAUUUGAACUUGAACUGUGACCUAGAUGACAUUAUAAAUUAUUUCUUACAUUCUCAGACAGGGUAAUGAAAUCAGGAUUAUCAUUCUCUUCUGAUAAUUCAGGGUUGAAAUAUGAUAGCUGUAAUUUUUAAACAAUAUUAGUGACUAUAAAAUCAAGGUAGGAGGACAUGGAGGUUCUGACACUAUUUUUUUCUGCAUAAUUGAACUUUUUCAUAAUUAAAAGGCUUAUAAUUUGUUUUGCUAUUGAGGCUUGAACCCAGGGGCACUUAACCACUGAGUCACAUUGCAGCCCUUUUUAUUUUUUAUUUAGAGACAGGGUUUUGCUAAGUUGCUUAUGGCCUCACUAAAUCACUGAGGCUGGCUUUGAACUUGCAGUCCUCCUGCCUCAGCCUCCCAAACGGCUGGGAUUACAGGCGUGAACCAUCGCACCCAGCUUGGGAUUUUUAAUGCUGGGAGUAGACAGUUGCUAACUGACCGGAGGAGCGUAUUUCACUGGGAGAAGCGUGAGUUUGAGAGCUGGCUAGCUAUGGAGGAUACUUUCUGUGACCUUGGGAAAGUCAACAUCCUCAAGCCCUAGCUGCACGGCAGAGGUGAUGGAAUGAUAUCAUGCCCUGGUCAGGAGAAAAGAGCAAGGACAGGCAGUGCCCUCCUACUUCCAUCCAGACUGGGUCACCAGCGAGGGUCAACAGCAUGCACGUCACCCACCUCUUUUUCCCACAUUUGGGGAUUCGUCCUUCCUUAAGAAUCUUCUGAAAAAAUAAAUAAAUAAAAAGUAUCUUCUGCUGCAUGAGCUGGGGCUGUGGCUCCGUGGUGGAGCGCUUGCCGAGCACGUGU